AUUGAACGCUGGCGGCAGGCCUAACACAUGCAAGUCGAGCGGAGCGGCGGACGGGUGAGUAAUGCCUAGGAAUCUGCCUGGUUGCGGGGGAUAACGUCCGGCAACGGGCGCUAAUACCGCAUACUAUCAGAUGAGCCUACUGCGGAUAAGAUAGUUGGUGGGGUAAAGGCCUACCAAGGCGACGAUCCGUAACUGGUCUGAGAGGAUGAUCAGUCACAGUGGAACUGAGACACGGUCCAGACUCAUACGGGAGGCAGCAGUGGGGAAUAUUGGACAAUGGGCGAAAGCCUGAUCCAGCCAUGCCGCGUGUGUGAAGAAGGUCUUCGGAUUGUAAAGCACUUUAAGUAGGGAGGCGUUACCAACAGAAUAAGCACCGGCUAACUUCGUGCCAGCAGCCGCGGUAAUAC
rnacentral:rRNA from 1 species